CAGCAGCCGCGGGAAUACGGAGGGUGCAAGCGUUAAUCGGAAUUACUGGGCGUAAAGCGCACGCAGGCGGUUUGUUAAGUCAGAUGUGAAAUCCCCGAGCUUAACUUGGGAACUGCAUUUGAAACUGGCAAGCUAGAGUCUCGUAGAGGGGGGUAGAAUUCCAGGUGUAGCGGUGAAAUGCGUAGAGAUCUGGAGGAAUACCGGUGGCGAAGGCGGCCCCCUGGACAAAGACUGACGCUCAGGUGCGAAAGCGUGGGGAGCAAACAGGAUUAGAUACCCCGGUAGUCCCUGUCUCUUAUAC
rnacentral:rRNA from 1 species